GACGAACGCUGGCGGCGUGCCUAAUACAUGCAAGUAGGACGCAGUUGCGAACGGGUGAGUAACGAGUAGGUAACUACCUAUUAGAGGGGGAUAACCAUUGGAAACGAUAGCUAAUACCGCAUACUAGUAGAUGUAUCUGCGUUGUAUUAGCUAGUAGGUUAGGUAAUGGCCUACCUAGGCAAAGAUACAUAGCCGACUUGGUAGGGGUAUCGGCCACACUGGGCGUGGAGAACGGCCCAGGCUCCUUCGGGAGGUAGCAGUAGGGGAACUUCGGCAAUGGGGGGAACCCUUACCAAACAACGGCGCGGUAGUGAAGAAGGUUUUCGGAUCGUAAAGCUCUUUUGUUAAGGGAGCGGUACUUAACCAGAAAGGGACGGCUAACUACGUGCCAGCAGCCGCGGUAAUAC
rnacentral:rRNA from 1 species